AUGGCCAGAAGAGCUGUGGUCAACAGUGAGCCAGUGAGGUUCAGCAAUCAAGACACCCAACAACACCGAGUGAGCUUUAACUGCGCUCCACCGCUCCAUCUUGAGCUGAAACAGAGAGCUGUCUUUUCUGUUGGGGUUGGACGAUUCGCUGCAUUUGUGCCGCCGCCAUGGCCCCGCGCAGCGGCGAGCGAAGCUAAGCUCGCAGCAUCCAUGCUCGGCGGCGAAGACCGGAUCAGCGCUCUGCCGGACGGCGUUCUCCAGCACGUCCUCGGCUUCCUGCCGGCGCGUGACGCCGUCCAGACGAGCGUGCUCGCCGGUCGCUGGCGCCACGCGUGGAGAUCCAUCCGUCGCCUGCACCUCAGCCCCGACGAUGGGUGGGACAGCGACAAGCCCGAACAUCUCAAGGAUUUCUUCGACGCUCUGCUGUCCCCCGGCGACCAUGACUCGAUUCUGGAGGAGGCCAAGCUGGACUUCGAUGAUUGGUCGAAGAUUACGCGCACGCCGAAGCUUGGAUCCGACGAAUUUUGUCCGGCCAAGCUCAGAAAAUUGGAGUUCACCGAGAUGGUUUUAGAAGGAGAUGUUCUUGACUUCGCAAGCUGCCCAGCACUGGAGGAUCUUAAGAUGGCAGAUUGCAGAUUACAUCUUGACAAGAUCUCGUCCCAGUCUGUGAAGCGUCUCAACAUCGACAGCUGCUACUUCUUCUGUGACUGUCGGCCUAGUAUAUCAAUGCAUAGUCUCGUUUGGCUGCUACUUGAUUCUUGUAUAGUUCCUUUUCUUGAAAGCAUGCCUUCACUGGAAACAGCAUUUGUGAAGCCUGCAGCAUACUCGAGAGAUUGCUGCAUAAGAGGUGCUUUUAAGGAAUGCUGUGGCAUUUGUGCAGAAUGUACUGGUGAUGGUGACCAUGGCAGCCGCUGCGUGCUUCUCGGAGCUUUAUUUGGAAGGGAUUUGAGGUGGUGUCCUACAUUUAGUAACUUGAAGACAUUGUUGCUCAAUGAGUGGUGUGUGGCUACUGACUUCCGUGCACUACUUUGCAUUCUCGAGCAUUCACCUGUUCUUGAGAAGCUCAUUCUUCGACUAUCUAAGAGACGGGAGUUUAUUACUGUGCUGAGCUAUCCAUUGGAAAAAUUACCUGCAAUAUCCAAACAUCUUAAUAUUGUGGAAAUCAGAUGUGGAGAUGUUGAUGGGAGGGUUUGCAGGAUUUUAAAGUUGUUGAGUCGUUUUGUCAGUGCCAUGCAGAUUAACAUCAAACUGGUUGCGCAACUAUCCACAUGCUUUAGUUUCGAGACAUGGCUUUGGCACUUUCCGGCCAAUGAUGAUGAUGAAUGCAAUAUAAUUGUGCAAGGCUAA
rnacentral:rRNA from 1 species